rnacentral:lncRNA from 1 species
AACAUGGGAAAACCUCCGAAGACUCUGAGCAGCUCUCCAGUCUGAGUUUCUUAAGUCACAGUAACUCUCUCUCUCUCUCUCUCUAUCUCUCUCUCUCUCUCUGUAUCUCGUCCGUCGGUGAUGGCCUGGAGUCUUCAUCGGGCCUUCCUCAUGUUCCAAAAGAGAGAUGCAAUGUCAUUUAUUUCAAACAUCUUGUUGGCAUUUAAGUUUAUAUCUCCUUUCGACCAAUACCAGAGGAACUUGCCAUGCCAAUCGGCAAGGGUCAAACGGUUUCUUUGAGCGGAAGGACGGAGUCCUAUGUCAACGCCACUGACGGAGGAAUACGUGGUCACAGGCUCCGCCGGGUCAGGUGGGCGGCGGGCUGCCGGCGCCGGCACGAGAAGUGAUUUCACAGCGCCAGGUCAUCGUCGGCCUGCUCGCGAUCGCCGUCGGUCUCGUCUUCGCCGGCUUCGGCGCGCUGCCGGAGCACCACCUCGACCCCUCUCAGCCUGCUGCUUACGCUGCUCGUCGUUCGGCUGGAGGCGUUCUUCGGGCGCCAUGCAUGGGCUCGCUUGUGGGUGAGGUCCUCAACUACUGCAUCAUCAGUAUCCUGGUUUAUGUGGCGGCCAACCCAAUGUGGCACGUCAUCAUGCGUUGACCGCGAGGGGGCGGCUGCCGAGUACCCAGUUAGUACAGUAAUUGGCGGCAGGAGUGAGAAACCUAGCUUUACUUGGAGAACUCCAAUUAUCCGAUCUAGACC